UACGUAGGGUGCGAGCGUUGUCCGGAAUUAUUGGGCGUAAAGGGCUCGUAGGCGGUCUGUCGCGUCGAUCGUGAAAACUUGGGGCUUAACCCUGAGCUUGCGGUCGAUACGGGCAUGACUGGAGUUCGGCAGGGGAGACUGGAAUUCCUGGUGUAGCGGUGAAAUGCGCAGAUAUCAGGAGGAACACCGGUGGCGAAGGCGGGUCUCUGGGCCGAUACUGACGCUGAGGAGCGAAAGCAUGGGGAGCGAACAGG
rnacentral:rRNA from 1 species